AGCCUGAACGCUGGCGGCGUGGCUAAGACAUGCAAGUCGUACGGGUGCAGCAAUGCACCAGUGGCGGACGGGUGAGUAAAGUAUCGCUAACGUGCCCCUACGUCCGGGAUAGCCGAGGGAAACUUCGGGUAAUACCGGGAGACAUCGCCUUGAGGCAUCUUGAGGCGCUCAAAGGAGUAAUCCGCGAAGGGAGCGGGCGAUAUCGUAUCAGCUUGUUGGCGGGGUAACGGCCCACCAAGGCGACGACGCGUAGCCGGACUGAGAGGUUGGCCGGCCACAUUGGGACUGAGACACUGCCCAGACUCCUACGGGGGCUGCAGUAACGAAUCUUCCGCAAUGCACGCAAGUGUGACGGAGCGACGCCGCGUGUGGGACGAAGCCCUUCGGGUGUAAACCACUGUCAGGGCAGCCAAGACUGAGGCGCCCAGAGGAAGGCACGGCUAACUCUGUGCCAGCAGCCGCGGUAA
rnacentral:rRNA from 1 species